rnacentral:lncRNA from 1 species
GUUUACUUUCACCUUUCCUUUUCAUUAUAUUUAAUAAUUCUCUUAAAGAUAAUGUAAAUUGUUAAGAAAAUUGUUUUCUUUUAGUGCCUUCUGUAAUGUUACAUAAUUUUUUCUUUAGCCAUUAUUGCCAGAAUUCCUAUCUUCAUCCCAGUGCUGGUGAAGACAAAGAUAAAACCAAACUACAGCUUCUACGAUAGCUAUUACAACAAACUGUAUAAACUAAUGCAUCAAUAAAUAAUAACUCAACAAGUAAUGCUCAAUCAAGGAGUCGAUUUACUUUGGGAGGAAAUGGACAUAUUGAUGGAUUCCUCUGCUUUGAACUGCUUGCAGAACUUGCCUGGACUAUGUAUCACUUGUAUGCAUUGUGAACUAUCUGUUGGUGCACCGAAUUGUGGUAGUGCUGGCGUAUCUUUGUAGAUGGUGUCAUCGGUGGUACAAUUUUUCCAAAAACAGCCGUCAUUUGGCUUGGUGUCAUGGCAUUUUGCAUCUUCCUCCCUUCUGCUAGUGAUGGUCUAAAAUUUGGUGGCCAACAGAGGUGAGGCAAAGAACCUCACCCCCCCACUGGUGCAAAGGCCUAUCCACAAGUAUGGCUGUAUGCUGGACCGGUAGUCAGUGACGGGUAAGAUCCAGUUGCAAUGGUACCAACCUAAGACAGGAGGCUGACGCCUUGAGGUCAGCUCAUCCGAUGACGGGUAAGGACCAUAUGUAGUAAUGGACAACCUAAGGCAGGCACGGUCCCUAAGCCACAUUGCUUGUUGUUUAAUUAAACAGAAGGGGAGAGAUGUUGAGGGCCACAGCCGGGUCGGGGUGACGCAUGGCAUUUUUGCCAGAAGUAGUGGUUGAGAGGUGACGCCAGCGAGCCAUUAAGAUGAUGACUUUUGAGUUCUCUCGGAGUUCCCGUUGAGUUCCGGUUGAGCUCUCGCGGGGAUUCCUGAAGAGUUCGCAUUGGUUGGUGAAGUUCCGGUGGUGGGAGUUCUGGUUGGUGUGUGGUGUGUUCCUGGAGGAGCCGCGGAUGGCAUUCGGGAGAGUUCCCGGGGAGUGUGCUGGUGGAGUUUGGAAAUAAAGUUUGUUCCUGCUUGAGUGGCUUGUGAUUUGUGCCCAGCCAGACUGUGGCACUUAUGAAAUUUCUGAAUUUUUUUCCAGUCACUCCUCUUAAUAAGAUGAAAUAUUUUACUUCUGGUAUUAUAAUUGAAACACAGCUGAAGCCCUGGCCCGUCUUAUGAAAUCACUCCUUAACCUCUGUUCCCACCGUUCUUGUCUGUCUGCUCCCUAGCAAUAUUGACUUGCUUCCAGCAAGACAGGGAUCUUCUCCUACAGCUCCAGUCCCUCGCCCCAGUGUUGUGAAGUCUUGUGAUGCCUAUUGUAUCUGUGUGUUUAUAGACCCAACAAUGUGUUGAGUUGUGAUGAGUCGUACUCAUCUGCUUUUAUGAUUUCAUUUCUCUAAAGAAGCCGGAAGGAGGUAAGGAAAAGUGUAUUCAGCAGGUGUUCAUACUUGCCUUUGCUUGCCUCCUGUGGAUUACAGCUACUGUGGUCCCCCCAGCAUGGCCC